AAUGAACGCUGGCGGUAGGCCUUACACAUGCAAGUCGAACGGAGGGAAGAGUCUUGGUAUAAACAGACUCGUUAUAACUUCGUGGCGAACGGGUGAGUAACGCGUGAGAAUCUACCUUUUACUACGGUGGAAGAGAGGUUGGCAACUCUGUUGACCAGUGCUCUUGAAUCCCGUAUAGAACUAAAAAAGACAUAAAAGUCGGUAAAAGAUGAGCUCUCGUAGGAUUAGGUAGUUGGUGAGUUAAAAGCUCACCAAGCCAAAGAUCCUUAGUCGGUCUGAGAGGAUGAUCGGCCACACUGGGACUGAGACACGGCCCAGACGCUUUCGAGCGGCAGCAGUGAGGAAUCUUGGACAAUGGGCGAAAGCCUGAUCCAGCCAUACCGCGUGAGGGAUGAAGGCUAAAUGGGUUGUAAACCUCUGACCUGAGUCUAGAUUGUGACAUGGAUUCAGGAAAAAGUCCCGGCUAACUCCGUGCCAGCCGCCGCCGUAACAC
rnacentral:rRNA from 1 species